GCCCCAGUGGCGCUCUUGGUCAGUGCAUCUGGCUGUUAACCAGAAGGUUGGUGGUUCAAGGCCACCCAGCGACA